AAGCAGUCAGGUCCUGGAUAGAGGCAGGAGGUGCUGUUUGUUUGAUGUUGGUUCUGCCAGCUCCACAAGCUGUCUGCGGCGGGCGGGCCGGCGGGCGGUGAUUACACUCUGCACAAUAGGCCCCGGAACAAGGAACUCAGCAAUGUUGCAAUCAUCAGUUUCAAUUGCCAUGGCUACUUAGAACUUUUCAGCACGAUGGAAGCUUGUCAGCAG
rnacentral:lncRNA from 1 species